rnacentral:rRNA from 1 species
UACGGGGGGGGCAAGCGUUGUUCGGAAUUACUGGGCGUAAAGGGUGCGUAGGCGGCUUUCUAAGUUGGAUGUGAAAACUAUGGGCUCAACCCAUAGCCUGCAUCCAAAACUGGAGAGCUUGGGUUCUGGAGGGGAAAGCGGAAUUCCUGGUGUAGCGGUGAAAUGCGUAGAUAUCUGGAGGAAUACCGGUGGCGAAGGCGGCAUCCUGGACCAUUACUGACGCUGAAUCGCGAAAGCUAGGGGAGCAAACGGG